AUUGAACGCUGGCGGCAUGCUUUACACAUGCAAGUCGAACGGUAACAGGCCUUCGGGUGCUGACGAGUGGCGAACGGGUGAGUAAUGCAUCGGAACGUACCCAGAGGUUGGGGAUAACGCAGCGAAAGCUGUGCUAAUACCGCAUGUGAUCUGAGGAUGAAAGCGGGGGACCGAGCAGCAAUGUUUGGCCUCUCGCCUUUGGAGCGGCCGAUGUCGGAUUAGCUAGUUGGUGGGGUAAAGGCCUACCAAGGCGACGAUCCGUAGCUGGUCUGAGAGGACGACCAGCGACACUGGGACUGAGACACGGCCCAGACUCCUACGGGAGGCAGCAGUGGGGAAUUUUGGACAAUGGGCGCAAGCCUGAUCCAGCAAUGCCGCGUGCGGGAAGAAGGCCUUCGGGUUGUAAACCGCUUUUGGCAGGAACGAAACGGUGUCCGCUAAUACCGGGCGCUAAUGACGGUACCUGCAGAAUAAGCACCGGCUAACUACGUG
rnacentral:rRNA from 1 species